CGUAGGGUGCAGGCGUUAAUCGGAAUUACUGGGCGUAAAGCGUGCGCAGGCGGUUUGCUAAGACAGGUGUGAAAUCCCCGGGCUUAACCUGGGAACUGCGCUUGUAACUGGCAAGCUAGGGUGUGGCAGAGGGGGGUGGAAUUCCAGGUGUAGCAGUGAAAUGCGUAGAUAUCUGGAGGAACACCGAUGGCGAAGGCAGCCCCCUGGGCUAACACUGACGCUCAUGCACGAAAGCGUGGGGAGCAAACAGGAUUAGAUACCCUGGUAGUCCACGCCCUAAACUAUGUCAACUGGUUGUCGGGGAAGCAAUUCCUUGGUAACGAAGCUAACGCGUGAAGUUGACCGCCUGGGGAGUACGGCCGCAAGGUUA
rnacentral:rRNA from 1 species